ensembl:lncRNA
GUAUCAGGAACUAGUUUGAAGCGAUCAUAAAAAAGCUAUUGAGUACAACUGGUAUCACUCAACAUCUAUUGAGCAUCUACUCUUUGGAAAGCACUUCAGGUGUUCAAAGAUGACAACAACACUGUCUUCCUAGUGAAGACCACUUAACACAACUAAAGCUCUAAAAACACACAGCAAUAAACAAGUGCCAAGUGGUGGACAUCAACAGAGAGUGUCGACAGAUGGAAAGCGAACAGUUUCACCACGGCCUUCCAGGAUGAGGGAAGCGUUGAGCUUUGACGGACAGUAGGUAUUUUUUGUGUGUGCUUGUUUGUUUUUCAUGGCUUUUAGGGUUUGGAUACUGAGAUUUUAAACUGAUAAUCAUAUUCCUUUCCUACUCAAGUUCAAAGCCAACUGAUAACUAGCUGCUGUUAUCAGAGAGAAGCAUACGUUUUUAAUAGAGCUUUAUUGCAGAGAUUAAAUUACAAAAUGCCACUUGGCCUCUUGCCACCUGAUAUCCCCUUAUGUAAAUGUAGCACUCAGCUCUGGCAGGUUUGAACACCGGCGGGCUUCCCUACUGCGUCCCAGGUGGCUGCUAGUGGUAAAGAACCCACCUGCCAAAUGCAGGAGACUUGAGAUUCACGGGUUCAAUCCCUGGCUGGGGAAGAUCCCCUGGAGGAAGAAAUGACAACCCGCUCUAGGACUCUUGAGUGGACAUGAUUGAAGUGACUUCGCACACAUGCAUACAGGGAGGAGCGAGCAAAUCCCACCAAGAGAGGCCAGGAGGGCUUACUCUACAGAAAUAAGUCUUCUCACGGAAUCGGAAGUCCUGACAUCGAGGUUCCUUGCUAGCAUGAGGAUGAGGUGGACUUUAAGGAUCUGUUUUGGAAGGCACAAAGAGAACCACGACUGUUUCUUUCUCUCUGCCUUCCUAUUAUCACAAUUCUAAUCCUCCUGAAGGGACAGCUCUGACACUCAUCAGGAAAUGGUCGCACACUAUAAAGAGAAGAAAAGAAGAACACAGAGAUCGACAUUUCCAGCUACCAUCACAGCAUGUUCACUCCCUUAUUUAAUUUCCCUUUUUCUUAAGCCCCUUCUGUUGAGAGAAGACUCCUUUACUGAUAUUCCUCCCAAUAAUAUUUAUGAGCUUAGGAAGGCACCAGUGGUUCUCUCCAAAGUACAAGAGAAAUGACCAGAGUCAUGGGGAUUAUUUAGGACCCUUGAGGUUCUCAGCCUCAGACUGCUACUACAAGGAUCCCUGAAAAGAAAAUAGAGACAUUUUUACUAGCAUCUAAGGAAUUGGGCCUCACCCAUAAUCUAUCUUAUUUAUCUAUGCAGUGACCCAAGGUGAGCACAGUUACUCCUGGGAGCCUGCCCACACAUGGAUCAAUCCAAAGUGUCCUGCCUCGCAAGCUUAGGGUUUAAAUCAAGCCACUUCCCCCAGAAUAUGCAACCUGAACGACUGUACCCUCCAUUUACUACCAUGAGAACGUCUUCUUGUGAUGAGCCCAAAACCCUGUGGACUUAGCCUUCCCAAAGGGUAUGGCCCCAAGAGAGGAAAUGGAAAACGUGUUCCCUGUUUCACUUACUGUUGCUGUUGCCCUGUGUCGUCUGGACAACAGGUGGUCCAGAAACCUGUUGGAGGGACCGAGGUAGCACGCUGCUCUCACAGGCGUGGCAGUGUUGGUUCAGGCUGCAGGAGCACGGAGCUUUUCCCCACAGACGCUGCAGUCAGCUAGUAACCAGGCCUGAGAGCCCUACAGCAGGCAUGGGCUUGGCACCAUCAUAUGCCAUGAAAGCAAAUGCCAAGAGCGUUCUCCACGCAACUGCAGUAACUUCCCUACAUUCAAACCUUCAUGUUGCAAGCUCUCAAAGAUGUGAGCAUGUAAGUGAAAAUUCAGCUUGUACCCCAUCUCCUGCUGCCGAUGGUCCUUUGGCUCUGCCGUCUCUCACCCCCUCUCCUGCCUCCAGUCUGUAAGGCUUCUUGCCGGCUCAGUCAGUGCCAGCCCCUGUAUGCCAGCUACUGUAGUUUCAAGGUACUACUGUAAGA